AGCACCUAAAGUGAUAGUGGACCUGAAAAUCCCAGUGGUGAGAAAAGGCAGCUCAGGAGCUUCAGGAAACCACAAGAGGCAGUGCCCUUGGUAUUUGGCAUGAAUUCUGGAAGAAUAAAAGAUUACUCCUUAAUUGUGUGAGGACAUCAAGUGACAGGAAUAAUCUUGUCCAACUUUCAUCCUGAGGGAGCAUGUACCACUUUAGCAACCAAGCUCUGGCAGCUGGGAUUCCACCCUCGGUUUCCAUCUGUUAGAGAUCUCAGCACCCUGGGUGGGGGAGGGACAUGGGAGGUGGCUGAGAUUGGCAUGCGGUGGUACCUUCCUGUGUACUGACUACUGAGAACAUAGCCUCGCUCUUCAUGUUCACCUCUGCUGGGAACAUGAUGAGUGAGCACUGUGAAUGCUUGCUAUCAGCAUUGUCAUCACUCCUCCUUCACUUAACAGCUUACAAGGAUGUAAAAUCACAGAAUGUUAGUUCUGGAAGCUCCUCAGCAAGCAGAAUUCCAUUCUUCUCCUUCUGUGGAUGAGGCUGGAGUGAGUAGUUACCUUCUUGGCUGUUGGUCAACUCCUCCACAGUCUGUUGCAAGCCUGCCUGUUCAGAGCCACACAGCUUCGAUCUAGUGGUCAUGUCCCCCAGAAUGUGGCAGAGGCAAGGUCUGAGUAAGGAUCAGAGGAAACUUUUUUACAUGGAAAUUCUGGAGCAGAGCGCUGGGGGAAAUUAGAAGUCUUUGCAGUGGAAGGCCUGGCUCCUGGAUGAGUGCACUGAGGAUCCAACAAGAGAUUGAUUCCUGGCCGGAGAGGCAAGAUGGUGGAGGAGUAGGGCCCUCAUCUCACCCUGCCCCACCAACUUCCCUGGAUAACUUUCAAACCAUCCUAAACACCUACAAAUCCGACCUGAGAUUUAAAAGAGAGAAUGGCCGGAAUGCUACAGAGAGAAGGGUUUUCGUUUCUGACAGGUAGGAAGGCAAGGAAAAAAGAAAAAAAGAAUAAAGUAAGGGAGGGGCCCCGAGAGGAGACA
rnacentral:lncRNA from 1 species